rnacentral:rRNA from 1 species
UACGUAGGGUGCGAGCGUUGUCCGGAAUUAUUGGGCGUAAAGAGCUUGUAGGCGGUUUGUCGCGUCUGCCGUGAAAAUCCGGGGCUCAACCCCGGACUUGCGGUGGGUACGGGGCAGACUAGAGUGUGGUAGGGGAGACUGGAAUUCCUGGUGUAGCGGUGAAAUGCGUAGAGAUCGGGAGGAACGCCGGCGGCGAAAGCGACUCUCUGGUCGGAAUCUGACGCUGAGGUGCGAAAGCUAGGGGAGCAAACGGGG